rnacentral:rRNA from 1 species
CAUAGCGACUAUCGUGGCAUAUCAAUAAGCGGAGGAAAAGAAACUAACAAGGAUUCCCCUAGUAACGGCGAGUGAAGCGGGAAGAGCUCAAAUUUGAAAUCUUCAAGGUUUGACCUUGACGAAUUGUAGUUUAAAGAAGUGUUUUCGGUUAGAGGAGUAGUAAAAGUUCUUUGGAAUAGGACAUCAUAGAGGGUGAGAAUCCCGUAUUUGACUAUUCUUUCUAGCUUUGUGAUACACUUUCAAAGAGUCGGAUUGUUUGGGAAUGCAGUCCAAAAUGGGUGGUAAAUUUCAUCUAAAGCUAAAUAUUGGCGAGAGACCGAUAGCGAACAAGUACCGUGAGGGAAAGAUGAAAAGAACUUUGAAAAGAGAGUUAAACAGUACGUGAGAUUGUCAAAAGGGAAGCGUUUGACACCAGUGUUGUUUUCUCGAAAAUCAAUUAAAAAUGGCCGGAUUUUGUGUUGUAUUGACCUUAUAAGCUUUCUUCACUCUUUUCUUGUCUUUUUUAAUGCACUUUUCGUUUAACAAGUCAACAUCAGUUUCUUUUGUUGUAAAAGGGUCAUUGGAAGGUGGCUUUCUUUUCGGAGAAAGUGUUUAUAGCCUUGUACCUCUGCAAUCGGAGAGAUUGAGGUCUGCAGCGUAGAUCCUUCGGGGUUAGAUACAUUUGUGCUAAGUUAUAGCUUUUCAUGGACAACUUGUUGACUAUGUUUAGUCUUGUAGCUUACUCGCUUAUGCUAUUUUACCUACGCUUAGGAUGUUGAUAGUCACAGCGUGUAC